UACGUAGGUGGCAAGCGUUGUCCGGAAUCACUGGGCGUAAAGCGCGCGCAGGCGGCGAUCUACGUCUGGGGUGAAAGCCCGGAGCUCAACUCCGGGACUGCCUUGGAUACGGGAUCGCUUGAGGAUUGGAGAGGCAAGGGGAAUUCCACGUGUAGCGGUGAAAUGCGUAGAUAUCUGGAGGAACACCGGUGGCGAAGGCGGCAUCCUGGACCAACACUGACGCUGAGUGAGCGAAAGCCAGGGGAGCAAACGGG
rnacentral:rRNA from 1 species